GAUGAACGCUGGCGGCGUGCCUAAUACAUGCAAGUCGAGCGAACAGACGAGGCGCUUGCUCCACUGACGUUAGCGGCGGAAGGGAGAGUAACACGUGGAUAACCUCCCUAUAAGACAGGGAUCACUUCGGGAAACCGGAGCUAAUACCGGAUAAUAUAUUGAACCGCAUGGUUCAAUAGUGAAAGACGGUUUUGCUGUCACUUAUAGAUGGAUCCGCGCCGCAUUAGCUAGUUGGUAAGGUAACGGCUUACCAAGGCAACGAUCCGUAGCCGGCCUGAGAGGGUGAUCAGCCACACUGGAACUGAGACACGGUCCAGACUCCUACGGGAGGCAGCAGUGGGGAAUCUUCCGCAAUGGGCGAAAGCCUGACGGAGCAACGCCGCGUGAGUGAUGAAGGUCUUCGGAUCGUAAAACUCUGUUGUUAGGGAAGAACAAAUGUGUAAGUAACUAUGCACGUCUUGACGGUACCGAAUCAGAAAGCCACGGCUAACUACGUG
rnacentral:rRNA from 1 species